AUGGGCACAGUCCACAUCAGUGCUCGCUGUCACGCACAACAAAUCUACGCAUCAAAUGUGUGCAUACGGAGUAAGUACCACUGUACACCCACACAGCUCCGACGCAGUAUGCCUGCAGACAAGGAAAUCAUUGUGCAGCGACCCGGAUCUACCACUCAGGACCGUAUUCAUUGUACCAGCCCCACCGUAGUAACCUGGGGUCCAGGGCUGCUCGCGGGGCAGGUCGCGAACCGGGAAAAGCAACGCGCAAUGAAGCGGAGCGUACUACAUAGUACAGUACCAUUAAAACCAUUCAGCUGCGCAUCAAGGGCGAGCCCUCGCGAUAGCCACGUCGGCAAGCUACGAGACAAGCGACUGUGCAGCGCUGGGAGAAAAAGAAAAGGAAACCUAGCCCCGCACGCUUCUUCGCCACACUGCCAAUCCCCUCUUCGCUCGUCUCCUUCUCUCCCUGGUCCUGCGCCGCCGGCUCAGCCACCUCCUCUCCCGCUUCCCUCCUCCUAUCUCAGUCCUCGUCCAGAUCGGCGUCCAGCGCAGGAAGAUCGGGGUGGUCGUGGCGGCGGCAUCUUCAGCGGCGUCGCCGGACGAGCUCCACGCGCCGGGGAGAUAUCUCCAAGGUCCCGCGCCACCACGUCCCCUAGCCGACGUUGGCCUCACCACAAAAGACGUCUAGCCCGCCCGUGCCGCCGGUCAAUUUGUCUUUGGAGGUCUCGGAGCCUCCGGAGUCGCCGUCGCUGUACGGAGACGAGUCGGCGGGGGGAUGAUGGUGUUGGGGUCAGGAGGGGAAAGGCGUCGCCGAUGAUGAUGUGGAGGAGGACGAGGUCGACGCCCCUCUGCCCUGCCGUGAAUCGGUGGCGACUACAGCGUGGGCGUGGUGAAGCGGCGGGCGGCGUGCGCGUCAGUGCCCCCGCGCCCCGGCCGGUGCGGACUGUGACUGCGCGUAGGGUACCAGCAGCAACUUGCUCAAGCCGCCGGGCGGACUGCCUGCCUGUAUUACAUUACACUGAUGUGUUGUCAAAAAACCAGAUUGUGUCAAGUGCUAUAAUUGAUAAAUAUAUCGGAGAAACUGCGCUUUUAAUCAGAGAAAUGUUCGGCUAUGCACGCGAUCACCAACCAUGCAUUAUCUUCAUGGAUGAAAUCGAUGCAAUUGGUGAGAGAAGAUUUAGUGAGGGAACUAGUGAUGACCGUGAGAUCCAACGGACACUGAUGGGGCUUCUUAUUCGGUUAGAUGGAUUUCAUGAUCUUGGCAAGAGGAAUGGAUUCAAUCGAACUUUGAGUGCCUCCACGUUUGAAGAUGAUCUCACAGAAAAAAAGCUGUUGAAGGGGCGCCUCUCACCUGGCACCGCCCAGCUUCCUCUUAAGCGGCGCCACCGGGUGGCGCCCCAACCACUAGUUCUCAUUCUGUCCCGCUCCAUCGGGCGACUCCCGGAAUCUCGCGUAAAACUAACUAGGAGUACGUGA
rnacentral:rRNA from 1 species